rnacentral:rRNA from 1 species
GACGAACGCUGGCGGCGUGCCUAAUACAUGCAAGUAGAACGCACAGUUUAUACCGUAGCUUGCUACACCAUAGACUGUGAGUUGCGAACGGGUGAGUAACGCGUAGGUAACCUGCCUGGUAGCGGGGGAUAACUAUUGGAAACGAUAGCUAAUACCGCAUAAUAUUAAUUAUUGCAUGAUAAUUAAUUGAAAGGUGCAAUUGCACCACUACCAGAUGGACCUGCGCUGUAUUAGCUAGUAGGUGAGGUAACGGCUCACCUAGGCGACGAUACAUAGCCGACCUGAGAGGGUGAUCGGCCACACUGGGACUGAGACACGGCCCAGACUCCUACGGGAGGCAGCAGUAGGGAAUCUUCGGCAAUGGACGAAAGUCUGACCGAGCAACGCCGCGUGAGUGAAGAAGGUUUUCGGAUCGUAAAGCUCUGUUGUAAGAGAAGAACGGGUGCGAGAGUGGAAAGUUCACACUGUGACGGUAUCUUACCAGAAAGGGACGGCUAACUACGUG